rnacentral:rRNA from 1 species
UGCAGUCGUACGAUGAUCCGCGUGCUUGCACCGGGGAUUAGUGGCGAACGGGUGAGUAACACGUGAGUAACCUGCCCUUAACUCUGGGAUAAGCCUGGGAAACUGGGUCUAAUACCGGAUAUGACUCCUCAUCGCAUGGUGGGGGGUGGAAAGCUUUUGUGGUUUUGGAUGGACUCGCGGCCUAUCAGCUUGUUGGUGAGGUAAUGGCUCACCAAGGCGACGACGGGUAGCCGGCCUGAGAGGGUGACCGGCCACACUGGGACUGAGACACGGCCCAGACUCCUACGGGAGGCAGCAGUGGGGAAUAUUGCACAAUGGGCGGAAGCCUGAUGCAGCGACGCCGCGUGAGGGAUGACGGCCUUCGGGUUGUAAACCUCUUUCAGUAGGGAAGAAGCGAAAGUGACGGUACCUGCAGAAGAAGCGCCGGCUAACUACGUGCCAGCAGCCGCGGUAAUACGUAGGGCGCAAGCGUUAUCCGGAAUUAUUGGGCGUAAAGAGCUCGUAGGCGGUUUGUCGCGUCUGCCGUGAAAGUCCGGGGCUCAACUCCGGAUCUGCGGUGGGUACGGGCAGACUAGAGUGAUGUAGGGGAGACUGGAAUUCCUGGUGUAGCGGUGAAAUGCGCAGAUAUCAGGAGGAACACCGAUGGCGAAGGCAGGUCUCUG